AGAGCUCCACACUGGAGCCUCUGCAGAUGUCAUUCGGACCGCAAGCUGAUGCACAAACAUGAGUUAAAAUAAGAAGCAAGACUGUAGAAUGAAAAAGCUGAAAGAUACUGAAGUUAUAUCUCAUCAUUACCAGUGAAACACACGGCGGACAUCAUAGAGUUGAAUUUUCUCUGCAGAAAAUCAUCUCUGGUGAUCUCAUGAACUCAUUUCAACAAAGAUUUAUCAGCUAACUCCUGACAUGUGCCAUAAAACCCAGAAAUAAUAACAGCACAGAUGAUAAAAGGUUAAUUCAAUAAGAGGUAUCAUUGCAUCUUCUAUUAAAAGGGUUGUUGGUUCACUGCGGGAGACAUUUUUACAACUGGUGAUGGAAAAAAAUAAGAUUUGAUUAUUGUGUUUAAAUCAAGAAUUUUACAAACAAACACAAGGAAAGAUACUUGAAACAUUAACCAGGUGAUGUUGAAACUUUCCAUGUUGUGAUAAACUCCAGCUGCCCCUGUUGUGAUGUUCAUCACAGUGUGGACAAAUAAGUCAGUCCAGCUGUUCUUCAGGGUUUUAUCAUAAAGCCAUCAAGCAGGAAGGCAGCAUCUCCCUGAAAACACUAAACCUGAUUGAAUUAUCUGACCUCUCUGAAGCUUGAAAUAAAAUAGUCUUUGUCCUGCAAGUUCUCUGCAAAAUAUCAGGAAUCACUCAUCAUUAACUCAAAACAACCAACCUCUACUUCAAACUACUGAGUCACUGGAAAAUAGCUAAAACAACCUUCAUCCAAGAACAACUUGUCCUAAUUUGGUUCUUUUUUUUUUGCAGGUAAACAAACUUCCAAGGUAGGUCCAAAAGAAUUUACAAGACCAAAAUAAAAUGUGUUAAAGUUUCAUGUCUCUGUCCAGACACAAAGUUCAACCUCUGCCACAAAUGAAUAUGAAACACAUGUACACUAACAUGACCACAAUAUGAUAUAGGACAUUAAAACUCAUUCUUAAGAUACCACAGCACUGUGAGUAAAACUGCACGACCUUUUGGGAGAGGUAAUGUUAAAAAGGAGACAGCUGAAUGAAUCAACAAGUUAUACCCAUACUGCUCUUACCUCAUGAUAAAUAAGUCAUCUGUUUAUGAACAAUAUAGAUGCAUUUAACAGCAUUUAACUUAUAUUAACUUCUCUGUAAGUCUGUUUUAAAGCAAGAAUGGAGAGAAAAAAGCUUUAAUCUGAUUGGCUGCUUUAAGUAUAAACAUCAUAUCUAUGACAAUAAUUCAGUUAGUUUGGACAUUACGUCUACCAGUUAUGAUUAACUCACAUGAGUGUGGUGCAACCAGACAAAGGUACAACUUGGUCUUGAAAGUGGGAAAGCAAUGUCAGUUUCUGGGAACAGAUGUGAGAGCAGCCAGAGUAGUCUCUGGACCACAACCCAUUCCUGACAGGGGAAAGUGGAGCAACAUCUUGUCCUGCAAUCCGUCCUAAAAACAUCACGAAACAUUGCAACGUUUUUCCAAUCUUCUACUGUACGAUUUUGGUGACACUGUGUGAAGUGUAGCCCCAGUUUCCUGUUCCCAGUUUGGUCUUCUGCUGCUGUAGCUUAUCUGCUUUAAACUUUGGUUCCUACUAUAUCCAUUUUGAGGACAUUUCUCAUUUUUUUCAUAUUUAUUUUGAGCUGACAGUCACAGUUUUAAAGAUUGGGGCAUCGAAUUUGGUGAGAGUUAUUAUUUUUCUUUAUUUAAAAAAAAAAAAAAAAACCUCAGUGUCACCUGUAGUUCUCCAUCCACCCUACUUUGUUCACAAAUCGGACAAUAGACUUCCAUUAAAAACACGUUUUUUGACCGUGUGUUUAUGGCACCAUAACAACAUAUUGCAACCUUUUUUUGCAGUCACUUGAUCAUCAGGGCUCUAAAUUAUACUUUCUGACAGUGAUACAACCGAUUGAGCCAACACAUAAUUUUAACCCCUUUGGUGCCGCGCACAGAGGUCUUCAUUCAUGGACUGAGAGUGUUUGAAGUGCUGAUUCAUCCACUAAACAUCAUCAGAAAUGAAUGAAACUUUACAUGCAACUCGAUAUGGAUGUCUGAGAGUGGGAUAUGUGCAUAGGGAAAAGUUUGUGUGCUCCUGGUUGUAUGGACGGGUGAGAAUCUGCAUCCAUGUUUAUAACCGGGCAUGCCGUGAGCUGAGUUUUUACAAUCAAAAAUCCAACAUCCAAGUUCUGCAGUGUGGGACAAAGAAAGUGGGACAUUUGGACAAUUACAACUUUGCCCUCACUUCGGAUCAAGUGGAUGGACAUGCUCGAGGAUGCACAGGUCCAGAACCCGGGGUUAAGAUUCGUUAAGAUUUGGCUAUUUGACUUACUGUUGCCUUUCUAUCAUCUCGAACCAGUCUGCCUUCUGACCUCUAACAUCAACAAGGCAUUUUGGUCCACACACCUGCAGCACACUGGAUAUUUUCUCUUUUUUGGACCAUUUUCUGUAAACCUUAGAGAUGGUGGUGCCUGAAAAUCCCAGUAGAUCAGCAGUCUCUGAAAUACUCAGACCAGCCUGUCCGGCACCAACAAUCAUGCCACAUUCAAAGUCACUUUAAUCUCCUUUUUUUCUCAAUUCUGAUGCUCAGUUUGAACUCCAGAAAGUUAGGGUGACCAUACGUCCUCUUUUACCCAGACAUGUCCUCUUUUUUGGGUCCUGUUGGGCCUUGUCCAGCUUUGUCUGGGGAAGUUUAUAAAAUUCUUCAAAUGCCCGGGGUUUUGUAUGGAAGUUUUGAGUUUGUGUGGCAUGGAUUUACUAAGUGAGAAGUGCAUAAAAAACACUCGACCCAACUCAAAAAACUCUCAAAAUUAACUACGAGUGACUCUGUGACAUCGCCCCCAUAUAUUUGUGUCCUCUUUUUGUGGAUUCAGAAUAUGGUCACCCAAAGAAAGUUGUCUUGACUACGUCUACAUGACUCAACGCAUUGAGCUGCUGCCACAUGAUUGGCCAAUAAGCUAUUUGUGUUAACGAGCAAUUGACCAGGUGUACCUAAUAAAGUAGCUGGUGAGUGAAUGCCUGUUAGUUCUUACUGUGGAAAACUAUGUAAAAAAUGCAACCAGGUCAAACUGACUGUCUGGAGGGAUAUGAAAGUUCCUUUAAAUGUCAAAAGGUGUGAUAAAAAGCAGAAAAUCCUCUUAGAAAGUGAUUAUUCAUGCUCGGUUUGUAUUUCCAAACCAUUUUUGGUACCAGUGUGAGCGAUAAAUCCGUCUUUUAUCUCUUUCCUUCACACAGGAGAACUCACUGACCGAGGCUAAAGGGACUGGACGCCUGAACUGAUGGAUCUUGAUUCAAACUCUGUACCAGGAAACACUCUGACCCAUUUGGAACUUUUUCAUCUUCAAACUUCCUCGUUUCUUUCUUUCAACAUUUGUUUUUAAUCUUCAGAGAAGUUGGCUCAUGAGGGAACUGAAGGCAAAAACAGGAAAAGGUUGUAUCUCUGCACGGAGAUCAGAUCCUCGGACCCCCUGCGGUGCAGAGUACUCGUCCCAAUUAAGUCCCAUUGUGACAGAGUUACACACAAAGGAUGCAUGCGAGGGAAAAAUCAGACGGUUUGACAAAGAGCACAAAAGUAAACGUUCUGAAAAUAGCAUAAAGAUGCUUUUCUGGUUGUACAAAAUAGAGAGGAAAAAUAUCAUGAAUAGAUUGCAAACAGAGAGCUUUUACUUUGCAUAAAUCUGAAGUUGUUUAACAGAACGUGUCCAACUGGCUGAAAAUCCAUCAGGCUGUGUGUCAGUUCAAGCUUUGUCCAGGUGAUGAAUAAUGAUGGAGGAAAAGUGCUGUUUGAGAGCUCUUCAGACCACCCAAAGGCAACUCAUAGUUCAGAGUCAGGUCAGCACACACUGUGACACAAAAUGAAAGGUUAGGUUUUCCACCAAACUGUCCACUAACUCAGAUACAUGUGAGGGAUGUACUUGGAAAAAAAAAAGGAGUAACCAGUACAGGCUUUGGCUGACGGCGUGGCUCUGUGGAUGCUGAUGUAGCUGAGUCAGUCUAUUCCAGCCCAGACUGAAGCAUCUAUAAUCACAAACAUCCAUGUUAACAGAUGUUGGAUGGUUGUUGUUGUAAAUGUCUACACAUCUCUCUAUUUUUCCUCUCUACUCCUUGUCUAACCCCAACACCAUCUCAGUAUAUGACGAUCAAACAUGAGUUGGUCUUGCUCAAGUGAAAGGAAGUUUCUCCUCUGAUUGUAACUUGCUAAAUGAUGAAAAUUAAAUAAUGAACCGAACACUUCAAACCAUGGUUGAAUUUUAGCAACGAUUAACACCUUAAUUUGUUGUGAUUCAUAAUAAACUAAACAUCUUUUAUUAAAGAUAAUGUUAGAGAAGGUGCGCAGGGCUUUUGCAGGGAUUUGAACAUGACUUUUCCAUCCUCAUUCAGCUCCCCCUCUUCUCAGAGCUUUGCUGUUGACCACCUUUAGACAUAAACUAGGCAAAUGCCACAACUUUGAAACCCACUGUUGGUGUUAUCACUGCUGCUGAUGGGUUAUGUUACUCUGCUGCAGUUGCCUGGAUAAGCAGGACAAGAUAUUGCUCCACUUGUUCCUACAGGUCUACAGGUCCUCGUGCUCUUUUAAAACACACCAACAUUCAGAGCAGUGGCGAUUGCUCUAAGACUGCAAGGGAAGCUCGGCUUCCCUUAAAAUGUCACCCCCCCAAAAAAAGAAAAAGUGGUGAAAUACGUACUGCUGUGUGUACAUUUCAUUAACUAAAUACGCACUAGAAAGCCUUCAUCUUUUGUUCAGACACUGUGAUAAGAAGCUGAUAAUCACAGGUAACCGGCAUAACUUCGUUCUCAUUCAUCCUCGCAGCCCCUCAGCGAUUCACACAGCCGGACGCUGGGCUUCUGCUGACUUCAAUGUGGAAGCUUAAAGUGGGUUGUUCCAGCAGUGAAACUAGACGCUCAUUGGAUAAAUGCUGGGCUUUGUCCCGCCCAUCGGAAGCCCAGCUUCACUGGAGUUCUAUGGCGAGAGGGCGGUCCCGACUUUCUCCCGGACUCCAAGCUUCUGCAUUCAUGAUUGGAUGAGCUGUCUGAGGCGAAAUCCUUUUUUGAUUGACAGCUAAACAAGCGAAUCAGCGAUCUUGAAGAAUAAAACAUCUACCAGAGCAUUUUCCAAGUUAUUCAUUCCGUUGUUCUUAACUGCUCCGGAGACUUUACCGAUCCUCAGCGACUUUUGUCUUUGUUAAAAAUGACUGCCGUUGUGUUUGGCGACUCUGUUCUGUUACAUACUAAUAAACAAAUACAAUUAUGAUGUAGGCCAGAAAAAUGAGCUUCCCCUCCUUGAAAGACCAGCAGCCGCCACUGAUUCAGAGUCACUAGAACUUGAACUGCACUAUUUCCUUCGUCACAGCAGUAGACAGAGGGGGAACUUUUGUUGUUGUGUAUUUUUUUUUUGUAUGGCAUUGUUUCUUUUAAAACGAAACCCAGAUUUAACUCGUAAAAGGAAAAACCCUGUUAAAGUGGUGAUGAGUAAAAUAAGUCUGUCUGUGCCUCUCUCUUGAUGGGCUCAAUAAUCAUAAAACAGAGCUGAGCCGUCGUCUGGUAUGUCUGGUCUGGAAAACUCGUCUUAUUUAUGACUCAGCACAUGUUAGUGCUUAAAUUUACAUGAAAGACAUUGUGGGACUAAUGAAAAAAAGAAACAGACAUUUCCAGUUCAGCUCAGAUAUUCCAUCCUCUUGUGUGCUGUUUGGCGAAAGAGUAGAAAAGAAUUCAGACACGUUUCAUGUCAUUUAUGAUUUACAGAAAAGAAGAGCAGUGAUUUAUUAUUCUCCAAAACACUGUAAUGUCAGACCUUUUCCAAACCUCAACAGAUCUGAAAGCCAGGGUUUGUGGAAGUACAAAUAAUAAGUUCAUAUAGGGUAAUGAUCAGACUGUAGGAAAUCUUUGUGUCCACAAGAAUUUGAUGAAGACAUGUCUGUCCUACAUUAGCCUGGCCUCACUUAAGGAAGCCUGACGCAACAUCUGUCUCUUAAUUUCACAUCAAUAGGGUGACCAUAUAAUUCCCCUAAAAAGAGGACACUGCUACGCGGGGGCGGAGUCAUGAAGUCAUGCAUAAUUAAUUCUGAGAGUUUUGGGGUCGGGUUGAAUGUUUUUUACACGCUUCUAACUCAGUUAGUCCACGACACAAACUCAAAACUUCCAUACAAAACGGACAGUCCCCCAAAAAGAAGGACAUGUCCGGGUAAAAGAGGACGUACGGUCACCCUACACAUCGAGGCAAGUCACGUACAUCCAGUCAAAUUAGCCUUGCUUAUUAUAGCCAAAAGUAGCUGAAAAUGAAGGCUUUACCUUUAUUUUAUCUUGAAACACUGCAGAGAGAACAAAUCACUCUCUGCCUGUUUGUGGAAAUGAAGCAACUACCGAAACUCAAAUCAAUGAAAAUCAACUUUCACUGGGGCAAAUGCCACUCCAAUGCUAUAGUCUCUCUUCUGGACUCACCGCUGCUUAAAGUAAAGAACUUACCUUUAUCACAUUUCAGUUACAUCUACAUUUUUAGAAAAAGAAAUGCAGUUAUUGUCAGUAAAUUAAGCAACUGUCUAUUGCCUAUCCUAGCUCAGCUCAAUGUUCAGCCUAAACAAAGACCUUCAAAAGUGUUUAUCAGUCAGAUUUUAGAUCCAGUAGUAUAUGGUAACCAUCAUAUUAGCAACAUUUUCCAUUAAGGUUUACAAAUCCCCACAAAUUCAGCCCCCGUCCGGCACCGUGUUGAUUUUCUGCCUGAUGAUGAGGAUGAGGAUGAGAAAGAUGCAGAGGCAGGAAAAUUUUCAAAGCAAAGCUGGCGAGUCCUCCAGAAGAACCCAUUCAAAUACACGACAAAUAUCAUCCAGAACCUAAACCCUGAACGAGAGAGCUGUUGAAGAGUGGUAGCUAAUGAGGAAAAGGAAAGAGGCAUCGAGAUGUGAGUGGUUUUACACGCAUGUCUGUGCAAAUCACUCCUGUUGUUGCAUCACCACAGGAGCCGGUUCAAAGCCUCUCCAUAGAAGCGAUGAGCUACAGAAACAUUAUAGAGGAUUUUUGCUCCCACGUCCUCGGGGUCAUUAUAUAGGAACUUCUAAACUUAGGAAAUAAGUUGAUGCAAUUGCAGCACUAACCUUUAGGACGCUGACGUCACACUGUGAAGUCAUUUCAGAUAAACUAUAAUGUUAUUGGUGACAGUAAAGCUAUUUUCAGUCUUCGGCUGUCACUUCAGCCUGGCCUAUCACCUCUUGUUUUUACUGUCUCAGAGGAUAGUAAGAAACAGAACAGAAAAGGUCCACCGAUCUGGCGCUGUUCCUCCUCAUGACGCCCCCGGCUGUCAUCUAUCAUCAGGCGGUGCGAGUGGGUGGCUCACACUCAUCAAGAUGUGACCCACAGCGUCACUAUCUGUACAACCUGCCCAGCUGAUAAGUGAUGGCUCCCUGAGGGUAAUAACCUGCUCUUUCUCACCUCAUUGAGGUCAGCAUUCCUCACAAUAUCCUCCUGUGGUUGAACCCAGAAC